AGUGAACGCUGGCGGUAGGCCUAACACAUGCAAGUCGAACGGCAGCACAGUAAGAGCCUGCUCUUACGGGUGGCGAGUGGCGGACGGGUGAGGAAUACAUCGGAAUCUACUUUUUCGUGGGGGAUAACGUAGGGAAACUUACGCUAAUACCGCAUACGACCUACGGGUGAAAGCAGGGGAUCUUCGGACCUUGCGCGAUUGAAUGAGCCGAUGUCGGAUUAGCUAGUUGGCGGGGUAAAGGCCCACCAAGGCGACGAUCCGUAGCUGGUCUGGGAGGAUGAUCAGCCACACUGGAACUGAGACACGGUCCAGACUCCUACGGGAGGCAGCAGUGGGGAAUAUUGGACAAUGGGCGCAAGCCUGAUCCAGCCAUACCGCGUGGGUGAAGAAGGCCUUCGGGUUGUAAAGCCCUUUUGUUGGGAAAGAAAAGCAGCAGGUUAAUACCCCGCUGUUCUGACGGUACCCAAAGAAUAAGCACCGGCUAACUUCGUG
rnacentral:rRNA from 1 species